UGCAAGGUGAAAGAUGGUACAGGACUUUUCGGACAACCAUUUCGCUUUUGGAGACAGCUUCCAUUCUAUCUUGUUCAUGGUUGUACCUAGAGAAAUAGAUGGACCUUAAGAGGCUGCAGGUCUGAGAGCCAAAUACUGAUAGAAAUGUAUCUUAUAAGUAUUUACCUAUGUGGUGCUUGUGAAUGUGAUGGUACAAAUUAGUGAACUGGAGGAUCCUGGCUGAAGAUCUGGAAUGCAGGUGGUAAAAGAAGAGGAGGAAUUACCUUGCGUGCUCUAUUGGGUGUGAGAGUGUGCACUGUCAUGCUUGAAGACCGUCAAGCCUGCCUGCUUUUGUCCUCAGCAGUAAAAUCGAUCUUGUGAGUAAGCUGGACUCCUGUAAAGCAGUGGCAGAGGCCAGCAUUGGAGCUGUUUCCGAGGAAGAACAUAGUGAUUGUGACAACCAGGCACCUAAAAUCAAAUGAGAUCACAGACAAUAAGUGAAAGCAAACUAAAUUCUGCUCAGGGCAAGACUGAAACAGAGAGAUCAGCAUGAGAUUUUUUUUUACUCCCUAGUUGCUGUCAAGAUUCAAGAUUAAAGGCUUCUGUACAAAAAUCACAUUGAGCCUGCUGGCGUCGAGGGGCUACAUGACUUUUCUUCUGGCUGACUGGCUGUGUGGAAAGGGGCGAUGAACAGACUGUCAAUUAAUACACUCAGAUUCAUUGAAAUCUAGGGAGAGUUUUGCAAAUGAUAAUACAGGGCCCACAAUUCUACCUGAAGUAUGAGGAGACAAAAUCAGACGUUCAUUAAAAGGGAUAAAUCCAGAAGAUUCAGAGUUCAUUCAUGCACAAGAUAUUGAAAAAAUGAGGAGAACAGCAAAUGCAAAAGAAGAGUCAAGAAUAAAGCUGCUUGUCAGCUUCUGUGAAUAUUGUAUUUCUGGAUCAGGUAGGAGAGCACAGGAAGUUUCCAUCAAACCAUGGUUGCUGAGAAUCCAGAUUUGAGGCUAUAACUUAUUCUGUCUAGAACCAAAUAAACAUUUCUGCAAAUCCAGAAGCUCUAUAAAUUUAUAGAAUAAAUAUUGUUCAGGAAAUGUUCCCUGAGGAAGAAAAUAUUUCGGACAACUUAACUUAUAGACCCCACAAUUUUAACAUCAGAUCUACAGGUGUGUAAGCGCCUAACCUUCUCUUUUGAAUAUAAAGAAAGGAAAUGUAGCACCAACAGGAUAAGAGUGCUAGAACUGUUCAGGUUGCCUAAAUUUUAUGGCUCACUAAGGAUACUUGUGAGUAAGUAAGACAUCCUAUCCUCCUUUGCCCAUAUAACGCCAGACACUUUUUGUAUUAGUCAUUUGACAGAGAAACCUCUGCAUUGCAGUUUUGCUUUCUCAGAGCCUGGAGAAUGACUGAAGUCAUCUCUCUUUUCCAAAUGGCAGAGCGUGCACUGGGGCACUGGAUUUGCGUGUUUGUGUACGUAAGAUUUUUAGAAGCAACAACAGCCUGCUUGGGUUGUUCAGUGGCUCUUUGCUUCCAAAAGGCUGUUUAUGCCAGGCCUAAGGUCCCCUAGUCACUUUCCUGAUAAACAAAGCAGUGAUGAUUUGUGUCAUUACAGCUGCCCUGUGUGUUCAUGGUCUAAAUAACUUAUCCAUUUUGUAGACCUUAUAAUACUGUCUGCAGUUCCUAGUUGUGUUCCUGGAAUCUACGAAACUCAGGACAGGUAAGAACAGAAGCAUUGCACGACAAAGACCAACAGAGAUGCCAUCAGCUUGUUCCUCUAUCUCUUUGCUGCUCAGCGGCUUCUGCUUUUGCAAUGUGCAAGAGGUGUACAGAAAGGCUAUAAUUGGCAGCUUGAAUUCACCUUGCUACCUGAUAUUUGCCUAUGUACGAGCUGAUACUUGCCCAAGCUGGAUCAUGGCAGUCCCAUUGGGCUGUGAAAGUGGGAUAUUUACAGAGCAGUUACUUCCACAUACUUGCCCACUGGAAUGCAGAACAUCGUUUGGCAUGUGUAUGUGUUGAGUGCGCCUGGACACAUCCAUAAGUGAAUCUGCUCUGAAUUGAGUCUCUUUAGGCAGAAUCAAAUAGCUGAAAACUUCAGAAAAUUAAAUCUUCAGGCUAGAGUUCACUUACAAGUCAUGAAAGUAUAAUAAUGACUGACCUGCAUUAAUUGAUUUGAAGUGCUUGAAUGCUGGGGAUAACUUAAAAAGUCCGUAUAAUGAGACACAAUCCCAUGAUGGUAGUUAUUAGAAAGGAUAAGAAGGCCCUUCUCUCAUAGACCUUACAUUCUCAACGUGCACAUAGCAAGAUAACUACCAACUAAUUAUACACACUACAAUUAAAAACAAGCAGGGUGAGAAGCUCUAUCAAAAUGCAAAAUAUGAUUAUUGCUUUGGGGUCACAUAAUUUACAGCAUUAAAAGUAAAGCAUUUAACGAGUGAGUCAAGAAUUAAUUUGUGUUUCAAAUGAAUCAUUGCUUUCGUGUUGACGAAACGCAUGAUUAUUGUAUUCUGUUUACCGGUUUUAUUCUGUUUCCUUGGCACUAAGGAUAAUGAGAUUUUUAAAUCCGGAGUGACAGAAAAUGAUGUAGACAGAACAAAAGUUUUAAAAAUAAUUAUCAUUCAUGUUGGGUCACCCUUUGAUUCUCUUCUAGAUAAUCAUUCAUAUAGUAAAAACUUAUCGUGGUUUAUUUGUAAAAUCUGAGAUGCUUACUGUAUCUCUCUGUCACACAAAGAGAUUUACCGUCAUGUAGAUAUUUAUGCAAAUAUUCUACACAGAAUAUCUUACAGUGAUAAUUCUUUCAGAUUUUAGAAAUCUGUAUGUAAAUUUGGAAUUUAAUUUUGUGCUUAGGAACAUAUGCAUCUUUUUUUCUUUUAAUUCUCUCUUUGAUUUUUUAAAUUUUUGUGUCCUGUAUCACAGAAAAAAGCUAACAUGAUGUGAGAAGCAGGAGUAUGAUGCUAGCAGACAAAAACAAAUAUGGAACUGGUACAUUUCUUAAUUUGAUAAAAUGCGUGUUCAGUUUUAUUUCAGACAAGAUAUAAUUUUCUGUACAUGCUUUUGUAACAGCAAUUGCCAACAGAAAAGCUUAAAAAAUGAGUAUUGUAAGACUUGGGAAUGUUAAUUUUAUGGAAGUACGAUUAGACCUAAAUUUUUGCAAUUUUUGAAAUUUUUUCAAUGCUAUCAAAAUGUUAAGCAAGGUUUCUUCUUGUUUUAGCUUUUGCCUGUAAUGCUAUGUCUAUAUAAGGAAUGUCUGGUAGCUAAAAAAAAUUAUGUUUUCUUAUUAAAAGGAUUAAAAAAGAAGUCCUUUCCAAAGAUACCUAUCCAACACUAUUAAGGAGUUCAAUCCUUGGCUUGAUGCCAAGGGCUUGAUGCACUUAUGCAAAGAGGAAUGGGAGAAGAACAAACCUGGAAAAAAACUCUUGUUUUGUGAAAAACACUGAGGCUUUGCUCUUUUCAUCAUGAUUCCAUCACCCAGAUUCAGAAACCUAUCAUGGAUGAAUCAGUUCCUGGCAGGAGUUACAAUAGCCUGGAGGACGAAUUUAUUUGAAUUGGCUAAAAAUGUUGUGCUAGAAGAAGUUCCCAGAUUGCUUGCCUCCCUUCAGUCAGGAGGAGGUGUUCACCCCAAAUACCUUUCUGUCCUAGAAGCCCACUGUCUUCCCCGAUUUAUGUUUCUGCACAGUGAAGUCUGCAACAGAUGGCAUGUGAAUACACUUGAGCGUGUAGACGGACAGCAUAGGUCACCCUCUAAUGCUAGCAAAUCUAGUCUGAACAAGAUAGCUUGCCAAAGCCACCUCUGUAUUGAAUUUAUUGGACGUUUUGCUUCUACGGCUAAGGAAUUUUCCUUGAAUGCAUCCUGAACUUUACUUAUUUCAAAGGAAGUAGAGAGCAGGAACGACUUUUCCCAAAUAAUUGACUUAGACUUCUAUGUAGCCUAAAAAUAAACAGCUGUUACAGAGGUGCUGCACUCCAUAAGCCUAGGCAUAAUACUGUCACACAGGUAAAUCCAGGAAAGUUCUGAUAGUACCCUGAACCUUGUGAGCGUUCCACUUUACUGAGAUCCUUCAAUAUAGAAGGAACAUUGUGACGAACCCACAGUUCUGGUCCAAACACAGAUUGUGAGGUGUUCGGAUCUGGUCUUGGUGUCCACCACACUUUGUAAGACAGUGUAAUCUGCUUCCCUGGAGGCCACACCCUGGGUGGUAGUCUGGGCAACUGCCUUUAUUUGCCUGUUUCUUCAGUUUUCUCAUGUGUUGAAUAGGACUACUAAGCCUCACUUCCUUUGUGGAAUGUAUUGACGGAGUGAUGAAAAAAAUGCUAUGUAUUCCUGUGUCUGCUGGGAAGUCUGUGACUGUGCAUUGGAAAUGGAAACCUUCUUGGAAUUUGCAAGUUAUGAAUAUUCAUUCCAUUGACUAAUCACAAAGCAGAUAAAUAAAUCCCAAAGCUACAGAAAGGUGUUCUGAAAAUCUAUAUGUUGUCUUGCAAAGGUUUCAUGAUCAUUCACAACUGAAAGAAAAUUAUUACAAGCUUUGCAUAUUUUAAGGAGGCAAUUCACUGAUUAUUUUGUUGAACCUGUUUAGGCAGGUGAAAUUACAAAGUCAUGAGAAAACAAUAAACCACCUUCUAAGAAUUUUGUGAACCUACCCUGAAAUGCACACAAAACUGAAAGAAGUGAAACUAGACCUUAACAUUCAGAUAUAUUAUAUUUGGUCUUGUACUAUGAGGUACUGAAUAGGCAUAUUUCUGCUUCUUAUGGAGAAUGACUACUGCUCACUACACUUGUACAUAUUAUUAAAAGAAAUGUGUGAAUAUGGAGUUUUUUGAUUCAGUUAUUGCAAUCUGUUGGACAACAAGUUCAGUUAAUUAUUUUUUUUCUUUUAAACUUUGUAUUGUUAAAUUUGUUUAUUUCAAAGAAGCUAUAUAAUUAAUUUUGAAAAUAUUUUUUAUAUUUCAACUACAUAUAUUAACCAAAUUUGAUCUGGAUAUAUUUUAAUUGUUCCAAUGCCUUUCCCACUAGGCGAGUCAUUAAACUUGUUGCCCACAAGAAAAAAACUAAAUUCAGAAAUGCCAUCAAGAUUUGUUUAUAGAUAAUUGCUGUAUAUCAGCUUUUAAUGCUGUGGCUUGGGAUUUGCGCAAUCCUGACUGCAGAGCGCUUAUGGAUACUGCAGCAGAAAUGUAGUUUUGGGGUAGAAAAUUUAUGAGGAGGAAGAGGCUAAAGACUUACGUGAGAGAUGAGGAGAGGGGUGUCUGUGUAGGCUUAUGUAUAUUAAUACAAUAAUGAGAUUUUUUUUAAACAGCAUUUGCCUGUACAGAAAUAUAGUUGCUUCUGUUAAUCACUGUUGUGUGCUCAUAAAUGUCUUUUGGUUUCCGUGAAGUAGCUUCAUGGUUAAAAUACAGCUAAAAAAUGAGGAAUAUAAUGAAACAAUUUCUCUAACAGUGCUAUUACAUGACACAGUCUCUGGGAAGCUCUUCUCAUCACGCUGAGGUAGAGACAUUGUAAUUGUCAUUAUGCCAUUGUGCCACAUCUUAUCCUCUGAUGGAAACUUCUGAAUAGAUGAGAAUGAGGACAGCUUGGGCCUUAAAUUGGUCCUCUUGAGGAAAGGAACAAGGGUUUGUCAGCACUGUAACAUUUAGUCUCCAAUAUGAGAGGAAUGGUAACAGAGGGACGUUAAUCUCAGCCCUGCACAUUUGAUUUUUUU